UAGGGAGCGGGAGGAGCGCCGGGUUGUCAUUGGCGACAAGCACGUGGUCACCCCCACCCGGAACUGCGGGGGCCGGGCUGCCGGCGGGGGGCGGGGCCGGGCCCCACGGGCCUGGGGCGCGGAAGGCGCGGUGGUGGGCGGUGCUCCAGGGACUUUGGGGUGCGCUCUGUGGGGCUGCAAGUAAAGGGAGGCGUGACUCUCACUUCUGUCCUGUUUUCAAAUUCUUGUGUGCACGUGCUGUCGGGCACUAACCCUAAUUCUAGGCGCAGGGGCUGCUGCCAGAGGGAUUUUAUACUGUGAGGCAUGCAAGUCGGAGGGACACCAAGUGUCAGCACUCAUGAGGUUCCAGUGAUGUGGAUGCUUCUGGUUCAGGGACUACAACUGAACAACCGCCAUAGGAAUAAAUGGAUGGAAGCUAGGGAGAAGGGGGAAGGAGCCCUCCCUCCAUGGUUACUUUCAAACAUCAUACCAACCUGGUUCGUGGAUCAUGUAAUGGACCCAUCCCUGACUUUGCUGAACGCCAAGAUUCCGCCAUUCCGAUUCAGACAUCAGGUGGGUUUUAG